AGAACGAACGCUGGCGGCAUGCCUAAUACAUGCAAGUCGAACGAACACUUCGGUGUUAGUGGCGCACGGGUGCGUAACGCGUGGGAAUCUGCCCUUGGGUUCGGAAUAACAGUUGGAAACGACUGCUAAUACCGGAUGAUAUCGAAAGAUCAAAGAUUUAUCGCCAAAGGAUUGGCCCGCGUUGGAUUAGGUAGUUGGUGGGGUAAUGGCCUACCAAGCCGACGAUCCAUAGCUGGUUUGAGAGGAUGAUCAGCCACACUGGGACUGAGACACGGCCCAGACUCCUACGGGAGGCAGCAGUGGGGAAUCUUAGACAAUGGGGGAAACCCUGAUCUAGCCAUGCCGCGUGAUCGAUGAAGGCCUUAGGGUUGUAAAGAUCUUUCAGUGGGGAAGAUAAUGACGGUACCCACAGAAGAAGCCCCGGCUAACUCCGUGCCAGCAGCCGC
rnacentral:rRNA from 1 species